rnacentral:rRNA from 1 species
AUGGGCGCAGCCUGAUGCAGCGACGCCGCGUGCGGGAUGACGGCCUUCGGGUUGUAAACCGCUUUUGAUCGGGAGCAAGCCUUCGGGUGAGUGUACCUUUCGAAUAAGCACCGGCUAACUACGUGCCAGCAGCCGCGGUAAUACGUAGGGUGCAAGCGUUAUCCGGAAUUAUUGGGCGUAAAGGGCUCGUAGGCGGUUCGUCGCGUCCGGUGUGAAAGUCCAUCGCUUAACGGUGGAUCUGCGCCGGGUACGGGCGGGCUGGAGUGCGGUAGGGGAGACUGGAAUUCCCGGUGUAACGGUGGAAUGUGUAGAUAUCGGGAAGAACACCAAUGGCGAAGGCAGGUCUCUGGGCCGUUACUGACGCUGAGGAGCGAAAGCGUGGGGAGCGAACAGGAUUAGAUACCCUGGUAGUCCAAGGGCGAAUUC